rnacentral:rRNA from 1 species
UACGUAGGGACCGAGCGUUGUCCGGAAUCAUUGGGCGUAAAGAGCGUGUAGGCGGCCUUUUAAGUCCUGCGUGAAAUCCUGCGGCUCAACCGCAGACGGUCGUGGGAAACUGGAAGGCUAGAGUGCGGGAGAGGAGAGUGGAAUUCCCGGUGUAGCGGUGAAAUGCGCAGAUAUCGGGAAGAACACCCGUGGCGAAGGCGGCCCUCUGGAACGCAACUGACGCUGAGACGCGAAAGCGUGGGGAGCAAACAGG